UAAUACGUAGGCAGCAAGCGUUGUUCGGAGUUACUGGGCGUAAAGGGUGUGUAGGCGGUUGUUUAAGUUUGGUGUGAAAUCUCCCGGCUCAACUGGGAGGGUGCGCCGAAUACUGAAUGACUUCGAGUACGGGAGAGGAAAGUGGAAUUCCUGGUGUAGCGGUGAAAUGCGUAGAUAUCAGGAGGAACACCGGUGGUGUAGACGGCUUUCUGGACCGUAACUGACGCUGAGACACGAAAGCGUGGGUAGCAAACAGGAUUAGAUACCCUGGUAGUCCACGCCCUAAACGAUGCAUAUUUGGUGUGGCGGGUAUCGAUCCCUGCCGUGCCGAAGCUAACGCAUUAAGCAUUCCGCCUGGGGAGUACGGUCGCAAGGCUG
rnacentral:rRNA from 1 species